GCAAAUAAAAACAUAGACUCUAAGUGUAAAACGAUGUAUAGAGUUUGAUACAUGCUCAGUGCUGGAAGGUCGGAAGGAGAAGUGUGAUAAGCUUUGCAUGGAAGCCUGAAAAACAGCUGCAGUGACGUUAAUUGUCAUAAGGUGGCGAAAUUCAUUUGUCGGAUAAGUGCUUAACUAGAGUAGCAACCUGCACGGAUGGUGUAAUGAC
rfam:Triticum urartu cultivar G1812 contig331420, whole genome shotgun sequence.